ensembl:lncRNA
CACACAGACACAGGACAGUGCAGGGAGAAGACACAGGUACAGAUGCACAUUAGAGUUGAGGUUAGAAGUAGAAGUUACUGUAUUUGACCACAAGUUUGUAAAGAUGUCAGAGGGAGUCUAUGAAAACCCAGAACCAUUUAAAGACGAUGAGCCUGAUGCAAUGAAGAACACAGACAUUGACGGCCAAUUAUAUAACAACUUAAGAGCCUUCAAGUCCAGUCCAAGAGAUGGAGUUGUUGCUUCAGGUAAGAUUGCACACACACACACACACACACAAUAUAUUAAACAAGUGUGAUAAUCCUGUAGUACUCUAGCUUUAUUUGUCCCAAUCCUGGAUGAAAUAGUAAAACAUAUUACCAAAGAUCUUUAAUCAUUUGUGAUUCAGUUCAUGUUCAGUGGUGGAAGAGACCCUCUGGAGUUGCUGCAGUGUGUCUGGGGCUGCUGUGUGUUCUAAUAAUCUUUGAAAGUCAGUCUUUGUUGUCAAGUUACAUAUAAGCACAAUAUCAAAUGAUCAAAUUUGAUUGUUGUUCCCCCAUAUGGGUCCCAAAAGAGGGAAGUGAAGUGGAUCUUUCCUGUCACUCAACCAGCUGUCACUCAAAAUCUCCUCGACCAAUCAGGUUCCUUAAGAUAGAGGGAGGCAGGUCAUCUAGCGGUUGAGAUUGUUUGGCCUUAACCUUUUGGUGAAAAAUCUGUCGAUGUGCCCUUGAGCAAGGCUCUUAACCCUAAUUGCUGCUGUAAGUCGCUCUGGAUAAGAGCGUCUUCUAAAUGACUAAACUGUAAAUGUAGAGGAGAGCCCCGGGGGUUACUGUUAUCAUCUCAUCCUCACUGGUUAAAACUACCCACCCUCAAUAUCCACUUGGAGCAGUUUGUAGUAUCAAAUCUAUUGUCUGGACAUUAUAAUGACCCAUGUUUGUAGUCCUGGACCUCCUGAACAUGUUGAUGUAUAUUUGGGAGUAAACAGAGGGUCCAAAUCAGCAGAAAGGUGAAAGGAAGGAGGAGUUCUGGAAACUCCCUGAAUUAUCUUGGGGC